rnacentral:rRNA from 1 species
GACGAACGCUGGCGGCGUGCUUAACACAUGCAAGUCGAACGGUGAUCUCGAGAGCUUGCUCUUGGGUGAUCAGUGGCGAACGGGUGAGUAACACGUGAGUAACCUGCCCCAGACUCUGGAAUAACCCCGGGAAACCGGAGCUAAUACCGGAUAUGACACCAAUCCGCAUGGGUAUGGUGUGGAAAGUUUUUCGGUCUGGGAUGGACUCGCGGCCUAUCAGCUUGUUGGUGAGGUAGUGGCUCACCAAGGCGACGACGGGUAGCCGGCCUGAGAGGGCGACCGGCCACACUGGGACUGAGAUACGGCCCAGACUCCUACGGGAGGCAGCAGUGGGGAAUAUUGCACAAUGGGCGCAAGCCUGAUGCAGCAACGCCGCGUGCGGGAUGACGGCCUUCGGGUUGUAAACCGCUUUCAGUUCCGACGAAGCGCAAGUGACGGUAGGAACAGAAGAAGGACCGGCCAACUACGUGC